rnacentral:rRNA from 1 species
UACGUAGGGGGCGAGCGUUGUCCGGAUUUAUUGGGCGUAAAGGGCUCGUAGGCGGUCUGUCGCGUCGAUCGUGAAAACUUGGGGCUUAACCCUGAGCUUGCGGUCGAUACGGGCAUGACUGGAGUUCGGCAGGGGAGACUGGAAUUCCUGGUGUAGCGGUGAAAUGCGCAGAUAUCAGGAGGAACACCGGUGGCGAAGGCGGGUCUCUGGGCCGAUACUGACGCUGAGGAGCGAAAGCGUGGGGAGCGAACAGG